rnacentral:rRNA from 1 species
UACAGGGGGGGCAAGCGUUGUUCGGAAUUACUGGGCGUAAAGGGCUUGUAGGUGGCCAACUAAGUCACACGUGAAAUCCCCAGGCUUAACCUGGGAACUGCGUGUGAUACUGGAUGGCUUGAAUCCGGGAGAGGGAUGCGGAAUUCCAGGUGUAGCGGUGAAAUUCGUAGAUAUUCGGAAGAACACCAGUGGCGAAGGCGGCUCACUGGUCCGGUACUGACGCUGAGGUGCGAAAGCGUGGGGAGCAACAGGGAGUUAA